AUGCAAGUAUAUAACAAGCCCCCUCCCUCCUGUACAUCCAGCUAUCAUACAGUUCAUCUUGAAGGUCUUAAUCUGUCAUACAAUCCUCUUAGUCUUCAGAUAAGAAAUUUCAUGGAUCUCUCCAUGAAAGUCUUUGUGGUCGUCCUCCUGCUUCUUGUGGCCACUGAGGACCAGGGACCAGUGCAAGUAGCUUUGGCGAGGGACUGCAAGUCACAGAGCUACAAGUUCAAGGGGAUGUGCGUGCGCGAUGACAAUUGUGCAAGUGUUUGCCUGACCGAGGGUUUCCCCAGAGGCAAGUGCAAGGGCUUUGCAUGUUCCUGCCACAAGGAUUGCUAG
rnacentral:rRNA from 1 species